GACGAACGCUGGCGGCGUGCCUAAUACAUGCAAGUAGGACGCAGUUGCGAACGUGAGAGUAACGCAUAGGUAACUGCCUAUUAGUGAGGGAUAACUAUUGGAGAAGAUAGCUAAUAACGCAUACUAGUAGAUGGACCUGCGUUGUAUGGGGUAGUAGGUAGGGUAAUGGCCUACCUAGGCGACGAUACAUAGCCGACCGGGGAAGGUGGUCGGCCAAACUUGGACUUGGGAACGGCCCAGACUCCUACGGGAGGCAGCAGUAGGGAAUCUUCGGCAAUGGGGGGAACCCUGACCGAGCAACGCCGCGUGAGUUAAGAAGGUUUUCGGAUCGGAAAGCUCUUUUGUUAAGGAAGCGGUACUUAACCAGAAAGUGACGGCUAACUACGUGCCAGCAGCCGCGGUAAUUC
rnacentral:rRNA from 1 species